ACCAUAAGAUAAUUCUGUUAAAAGGAUAUCUUAAGAUAGAAACACAGGAUCAUGGUCAGAAAAUGUUCCCCACGUGUUUUAGUUUUGAUUGAAAUUCUGAAGCUUUGAAGGUGAUAGAACUGAAAUUAAUAAAUUAGAAUAUUGAUGAUUUAAUCAAUGUAGUCAUUCUAGCUGUGUCCGCAUGUAAACCAGAUCACUAUCAGUUAGCACCUCUUUGCUGUCUCCAGGGAUUCUUGGCAGACUAUUGGAUGAUGCAACCUCCUGUUUUUGACUGGAUUUCAAAAUAUAAGUGCAAAAAUGGGACUUCUUGAUGGUCGCACCACAUGAUAUUCAGUUAAAAGGACAUUUACAGACAAACUUUGUUUAAAUGUUAUAAUGGAAUUAUAACUAAAAAUGCCUUGAAAAUUUGUACAGGAUGAAGAAAAUACUCUGAAAAUCAUGCCAAACAGGAAAGAAAACAUAUUUGAACAGAUUUAAUGUACUUUUAAGACAUUUUGAAACAGUAAUUGAGUUCGGUCAGUCGCAUGACAUUUUGACCCUUUAAAAACCACAAAAAUGGCCAAGAAAAACAGCUCUGUAAGGUUAAAGAAGUUGUUUAUGUGGGAGGUAUAUUACAUAUCUGUGGUUUCUUUUUAUGAGUUUUAACCUUGUUGGAUUCACUCCUCCCAUUCCGCUAGGGGGCGCUGUAGUCGCUUUGCAUUGGUGGAGGUGAAACGAGAGAAGAAACUUACGGCAGGCCAGUAAUGCACUGAGACUGCAGUUAGCUGAAGCUAACAAGCUGAAUCUACAAUAAAAUCAUAUUUUAAUGGCAUUCAUGAGUGUUGCCCAACGUGUUUAACCGGACGGCACAUCCGUGUAAAAGCACUCGGCAAUAAAAUUAACAACAACAAC